AGCGCCUUACCUUAGGGUUUCCUCUGGGGUAAGUGAUUGCUUCUACACUGUGAAAAUUUGGCUGAGAGACUCAGACUGGUCAUGGGUAGACCUAUCUGGGGUUUGAUCGAUGCCACUCCUGGUUUCAGGAGCACCCUUCAUAAUAAACCUAGAAAUUCAGUAUUAUAAAGUUUAAUAAAAAACAACUUUUAACAAUGGAUCUCUUGGUUCUCGCAUCGAUGAAGAACGUAGCAAAGUGCGAUAACUAGUGUGAAUUGCAUAUUCAGUGAAUCAUCGAGUCUUUGAACGCAGCUUGCACUCUAUGGUUUUUCUAUAGAGUACGCCUGCUUCAGUAUCAUCACAAACCCACACAUAACAUUUGUUUAUGUGGUAAUGGGUCGCAUCGCUGUUUUAUUACAGUGAGCACCUAAAAUGUGUGUGAUUUUCUGUCUGGCUUGCUAGGCAGGAAUAUUACGCUGGUCUCAGGAUCUUUUUCUUUGGUUCGCCCAGGAAGUAAAGUACAAGAGUAUAAUCCAGCAACUUUCAAACUAUGAUCUGAAGUCAGGUGGGAUUACCCGCUGAACUUAAGCAUAUCAAUAAGCGGA
rnacentral:rRNA from 1 species